GGAUGUUAAUGCACGAAAAAGGACUGCUUGGGCGUGGCGGGAGGGGCACACUUCAGCUCUGAGGGCUCCUGAUAGGAAUGGGUAUAUAUUUUUUCGGUUUCGGAAUCACCUCUGCGCCGACCUCCGCGUAGGCCGCGCGGCCUAGGCCUCAGCGGGCCGCUCGUCGCCUUUCUCCGCAGCCCGCCCCUGGGGUCACUCGCUCACGGGCGCGGGACCCUCAUCGGGGCGAGAGCCCCCACACACACCUCCCCCGCGGGCCCGGAGGCGGGGGACCCGGGGGACACGGACACUGGUGGGUGGUUGGGUGUAAUUAGCGCGGGCCGCGCGCGAUGGAGCAAGCGGGGGGGGGGAGGGAAGAAGAGGAGAGCGAGCGAGGGGGGGUUAAAAAAAGGAUUUUAGGGAGAGAGGAAACGAGCCGCGGAGACGGGCCGACUGUCUGUCUUUCUGCCCUAGGUGCCCCGGCUGCUCGGCCCCCGCCGCAGUCAGAAAUUCACACAAAAUGGCGGCCCGGCCUGGAGGAGCCGAGAGGCUGAGGCGGGAGGAAGGGCGAGGUGGGAGGGGGAACUGGGAGGCGGAGGCGGAGGCCGUGUCACGUGGCGCAGAGGGGCCCAGGCCUUUCCCCGAAGGCUGGCGGAAAGAGCCGAAGGGAGAGAGUGAGGUCGAGGCAAGGCGGAAAAAGCCGAAAGCAGAGGAGCGGGAGACGGAAAGAGCCGAGGUUGGCGACGGGGGUGUGGCUAAAAAUGGAUGGACAGCCGCGGAAGCCGGAGAUGCCGUACAGGACCAGGACGGGCUUGAGGGGGGAAAAGCAAGGAAUUGCUAUGAUCCGGAAGGAGCCGAAGGAGGCUUCGGAGAUGGCGCCGAAGGCGAAGAAGGAAGCCCCUGCCCCUCCCAAAGCCGAAGCCAAAGCAAAGGCUUUGAAGGCCAAGAAAGCAGUACUGGAAGGCGUCCAUAGUCAUAAAAAAAAGAAGAUCCGCACGUCACCUACAUUCCGACGGCCCAAGACUCUGCGUCUCCGAAGGCGGCCCAAAUGUCCUCGAAAGCGCCCCCAGGAGAAACAAGCUUGACCACUGUGCCAUCAUCAAGUUCCCACUGACAACCGAGUCAGCCAUGAGGAAAACAGAAGAUAACAACGCUCUUGUGUUCAUUGUGGAUGGCAAGGCCACAUGUUCGACCGGCUCCCGACUACGAUGCUUUGGAUGCUGCCAACAACCUUGGGAUCAUCUAAACGCGUCCAGCUGGCUAACUCUAAAUAUACUUUUUUUUCACCAAAAAAAAAAAAAGUAAAUAUUUUAUUUUGUUUUUAAAUGUCAUCUCUGCACCCAACAUGGGGCUCAAACUCACAAGUCUGAGAUUGGGAGUCCCAUUCUCCACCAAAUGAGCCUGCCAGGUGCUUUUAUUUUAUUUUAUUUUAUUCUAUUUAUUUUAUUUUAUAUUAAGUUUUACACCCAGUGGGGGCCUGAACUCACAAUCCUGAGAUCAAGAGUUCUGUGGUCUAUCUACUAAGCCUCUUGGCCCCCCUCUACCUUCAUCUUCAAAUGGCCCUUCUCUCUGUGGUUCGUGUAUUCAGAUUUCCCUCUUUGUAUAAAAACACCAUUCAUAUUGGACUACAGCUUACCCUAAUGAUCUCAUCUCUUUUUUUUUGAACAUUUAUUUAUUGUUGUAGGAGAGAGAGAGACAGAUCCUGACGUGAG
rnacentral:lncRNA from 1 species